GACGAACGCUGGCGGCGUGCUUAACACAUGCAAGUCGAACGGUAAGGCCCUUCGGGGUACACGAGUGGCGAACGGGUGAGUAACACGUGGGUGAUCUGCCCUGCACUUCGGGAUAAGCCUGGGAAACUGGGUCGAAUACCGGAUAGGACCACUGCCUGCAUGGGUGGGGGUGGAAAGCUUUUGCGGUGUGGGAUGGGCCCGCGGCCGAUCAGCUUGUUGGUGGGGUGAUGGCCUACCAAGGCGACGACGGGUAGCCGGCGUGAGAGGGUGACGGGCCACACUGGGACUGAGAUACGGCCCAGACUCCUACGGGAGGCAGCAGUGGGGAAUAUUGCACAAUGGGCGCAAGCCUGAUGCGGCGACGCCGCGUGAGGGAUGACGGCCUUCGGGUUGUAAACCUCUUUCAGCACCGACGAAGCGCAAGUGACGGUAGGUGCAGAAGAAGGACCGGCCAACUACGUGCCAGCCGCCGCCGUAA
rnacentral:rRNA from 1 species